rnacentral:hammerhead_ribozyme from 1 species
CCAUUGCUGAGGAGUCCCAUAAUAGAACGAAACGGCCGUCCAGUGC